AUUGAACGCUGGCGGCAGGCCUAACACAUGCAAGUCGAGCGGCAGCGGGAAGUAGCUUGCUACUUUGCCGGCGAGCGGCGGACGGGUGAGUAAUGUCUGGAAACUGCCUGAUGGAGGGGGAUAACUACUGGAAACGGUAGCUAAUACCGCAUAAUGUCGCAAGACCAAAGAGGGGGACCUUCGGGCCUCUUGCCAUCAGAUGUGCCCAGAUGGGAUUAGCUAGUAGGUGGGGGAACGGCUCACCUAGGCGACGAUCCCUAGCUGGUCUGAGAGGAUGACCAGCCACACUGGAACUGAGACACGGUCCAGACUCCUACGGGAGGCAGCAGUGGGGAAUAUUGCACAAUGGGCGCAAGCCUGAUGCAGCCAUGCCGCGUGUAUGAAGAAGGCCUUCGGGUUGUAAAGUACUUUCAGCGGGGAGGAAGGUGUUGAGGUUAAUAACCUCAGCAAUUGACGUUACCCGCAGAAGAAGCACCGGCUAACUCCGUGCCAGCCGCCGCAGUAA
rnacentral:rRNA from 1 species